ACCACCGCUACCACCGCCACCACCGCCGGGGCUACCCGCAAUGGGAAGCUGCCGGCCUCACAGAGCAUGCGCCACUCCUCGCACAUGCUCACUUGAAGAAGAGUAAGGAAAGUGCUGGGGAGGCUGUCAGCUACUGACGUUCGACUUCAGGUUCCCUCCAGGUGGAAGAACGAGGACCAGAAAGCAAGGGGGAACGUGCCCAUCGCCAGAGGAGGAGUGGCACGCUCUUCUGCUACCUCUUCUCCAAGGCUCUGCUGCCAACAGGAAGAUUUACUGUGAAUUGUGCUGGUUAAUUCAGAGUUUAAGGCAGAGAAAACCAUCCCAAUUAGAAGUGCCUUUAGCGAUCUUAUUUUAUAUGGUUUUUGUCAUUAGGAUUUACGCUUGUUUAACACAGCUUUUACUUACAAAGACAGGUAGUAAUCUAGCACAUUCUUUUUUGUGUGUGAAAGUAUUUUGUGUGUGAAAGUAUAACAGAUAGGCUAGUAUUCACAAGCCAGAGUCAUUCCCAAAUUCUUGUUCUCAACGGAGCAAUAAUAUUUUUUAAAUUACUCUUUUUUAUUGACUCCUCACUCACCUAAGAGUGCACUUUUAUCUCUUGGCAGUGGUCAUUUAAUGGUUUAUUUUUUUCUGCCCAAACUUACAUUUUUAAAGAUAAUUCUUGAAUGCGAUCUGAAACAAUAAUUGUGACGGAGACUGUAUAGCGUCUGAAAAUGUCAGAUCCAUCACAUAUCUUGUUGUUGUCUAUAAAAAAGUAACAUUUGCUCAGUCCUUUGUUCCAAGCUAACCUACGAACCCCAUCUAAGUAUAUGCUCUAGAAAUAUACGUGCCAAUGCACUUUGAUUCCUACUACGUUUUAUCCUUUGACUCUCAAUUUGAAGAGUUUCCUAAUUUACAGUCCUGACAAAAUAAUUUAUAAGUUCUGUCAUCCCAGUACUGUAUCUUUCAUCUAUGUACUAGUUCUUAUAUCUGUGCCUCUUCUUCGGAUGGCCUUCUCUUAAAAAAAAAUAAAAUAAAUGUUAAAAAAUCCUCCUUAGUGUUUGAGAAGUGCAAACAACAAGGAAUAGGAAAGUAAAUUAAUUCUAGUUUUAGGGUGGAAGGUUGCUGAAAGCAAUGCAUUUUUUUCUGAAGCUUUAAAUAAUGGAUGGAUUUCAUUUAGUUUUUUUAAAGAUAAUUAGCAGUGGGAUAAACAUAGGAACAAAGGACAAGACAUGUGGAAUCAUAGUAUUUUAGUACUGUAAUUAGCCCUGUUAAGUUUUUGUAUUUGUCUUGUUUCCUUACCUAAGUUCCUUCAGAGCUUGCUGCUUUUGUGUCUCCUUCAGCCACUUCAGGACUUUGCAUGUAGUAGGUAUCCAGUAAGUAUUUAUUAGACUAAAUUUCUAUCCUAAUGCUUCAGCACAGUUAAAGACCUCAGUGUUGACCAGGCAGCCCCUAACCCUGGAGUGAGAACCAAGACAAUGGUGUAGAGGCAGCUAAAUUCUAAGAAUUCUAAGGCCUGACAGGUAAGCAAUGAGAGGGCCCAUUACUAUUGCAAGACCUAGCAGGGUAGCUAAAAGGCUCUGAAAUCAGACAGCCCUGGAAUUGGAUCCUGACUCUGCUACUUAAUACUUGUCUGGCUUUGGGCAAAUUAUCUCCUCUGAAUAAUGCUCAAAAGAAUACCCACUACAUGAGAUUGAGGGAGGACUUAAAGGAUCUAGGAUGUCCAACUUGGCACAUGAAUUUUCACAAAUGGUAGCACAUACUAAACAAAACACUAGGUUUUCCGUAGGGUAGCAAUGGUGUCUGUUCAACCAUCACAGGCUCCUAGCACAGGGUCUAGCCCUGAACAGGAGGGAAAUAGAUGUUGGCUGAAUGAAUGAAUGUUGCUUGCACAGAAAACAUUUACAGCGCAGGCUCAGGUGGUGGAAUGUGCAGUCACUGCCCAUUUAGAGUUUCUAGUGGACAUUGACCCGCGUGGCUGCCCUGGUCUCCGGGCUCUUCCCACCAUUCAUUAAUUUCGCUUCAAUCUUUACUGCUGUUCAGUCCCAGACAGGCCCCUACGGAGCCUGAUGGGUACACUCAAAACCCGGAAACUGGAUAACUUGCUAAGAAGCCCGAUGUCAUUGAGCUGCGCAACUAGGCGUGCGCAGAGUCGCACACAUGCUCACUUAGGUAUCCGAGAGUGGCAUUUCUGUUGCGGUUGGCAGCGUUUCCUUCCACGGCAGCGGCAGCGGUCGCUCUCCUCAAAAUUGAUAGCCAGUGCAGCGUUUUUUCUCCUCCUCCUCCUCUUCCUGCCUCCGCACGGCGCGCUCCCCGGUCCCUGCAACUGCCACAGCUACCGCCUUGGCAGCUGGGCAACUUGGAAGGCUCCCCUGGGAUGGCGGGGGAGUGGGGCGCAUGCCAGAAAGAAAAAGGCAUUUGGAGUCACCCUUACUUCUACUGUCAAGGGGACGUGAAGGAGAGUGUGGUCACAAGUCGCGAGGGUCGCCUGAACCGUCGCUGCAGAUCGGAGACGUGGGUUUCUGGCAGUAUGCAAAGCAAGCGUCCCCUCCCGCCGCUCCUGCGAGCUCUACUACCGAAUGCCUUACGCAGCCCUUGUGUUUGGGGAAAGAGGGGGACCUAUACAGAAUGAAAAAACA
rnacentral:lncRNA from 1 species